CUUUAUCUGAAAUUGAAAAUUGAAAUAUUUUGGAAUGCAUUCAACGAAAAUUCAAAUAUGCCUUUGCAUGAAGGACAGUAAAAUCUGGCAAUCAGUUCAAAAAUCUAGAGCGGUAACAUCCUUAGGCUUGGUGGGUUCAAUGAUCUCAAUCUUUUGAAUUCAAAAAAAAACAUAUUUUCAUUGCAUUGACCUAGGCACUUGCAUUUACAAUAAUUUUGGUUUGGUUACUUUAUUUGCAUGCAUCUUGAAACUACUGUAAGAAAAACAACACUAUAAAGUUGCCUAGUCAAACAAAAAUGGUUUUUAUACAAGCAAAGACAUCAAAAGAAACUACAGUAAGGUUUACCUCAGAUCUCAGCGUAAUGAAAUGGGUCAAAAUUUGAUACAAAGAAAG
rnacentral:misc_RNA from 1 species